rnacentral:rRNA from 1 species
CUCGCGUUGGAUUAGAUAGUUGUGGGGUAACGGCCUACCAAGUCGACGAUCCAUAGCCGGACUGAGAGGUUGAACGGCCACAUUGGGACUGAGACACGGCCCAGACUCCUACGGGAGGCAGCAGUGGGGAAUAUUGCACAAUGGAGGAAACUCUGAUGCAGCGACGCCGCGUGAAGGAAGAAGGUCUUCGGAUUGUAAACUUCUGUUGUCAGGGACGAUAAUGACGGUACCUGACGAGAAAGCCACGGCUAACUAC